AUGCUUACUUCAGCAGCAGAUAUACUACAUUGGGAAGAAUGGAGAGAAGAUUAGCUUGGCCCCUGUACAAAGAGAACAAGCAAGUAUGUUCCAUAUUUUU
ensembl:snRNA U6 U6 spliceosomal RNA